rnacentral:rRNA from 1 species
CUUUACUGUAACCUGGAAUUGGGUUCGGGCUUUGCUUGCGCAGGAUAGGUGGGAGGCGUUGAGAUAUUCCUUGUGGGGAAUGUGGAGCCAACGGUGAGAUACCACUCUGGUGAGGCUAGAAUUCUAACCCGAUGCCGUGAACCGGCUCGGGAACAGUUUCAGGCGGGCAGUUUGACUGAGGCGGUCGCCUCCUAAAAGGUAACGGAGGCGCGCAAAGGUUCUCUCAGGCUGGUUGGAAAUCAGCCGUAGAGUGUAAAGGCAUAAGAGAGCUUGACUGCGAGACCAACACGUCGAGCAGGGUGGAAACACGGCCUUAGUGAUCCGACGGCACAGCGUGGAAGGGCCGUCGCUCAACGGAUAAAAGUUA